GACCGCGUAGCUCAGUUGGAAGAGCAUUGGGCUAGUAUUCCAAAGGUCGUAGGUUCGAUUCCCAUCGUGGCUG